rnacentral:rRNA from 1 species
UGGGGAAUAUUGGACAAUGGGGGCAACCCUGAUCCAGCCAUGCCGCGUGAGUGAUGAAGGCCUUCGGGUUGUAAAGCUCUUUUGCAGGGGACGAUGAUGACGGUACCCUGAGAAUAAGCCCCGGCUAACUUCGUGCCAGCAGCCGCGGUAAUACGAAGGGGGCUAGCGUUGUUCGGAAUUACUGGGCGUAAAGGGCGCGUAGGUGGCUUGGCAAGUUGGGUGUGAAAGCCCAGGGCUCAACCCUGGAAUUGCACUCAAGACUGCUUUGCUUGAAUUCGGUAGAGGUUGGUGGAAUUCCCAGUGUAGAGGUGAAAUUCGUAGAGAUUGGGAAGAACACCCGUGGCGAAGGCGGCCAACUGGACCGACAUUGACACUGAGGCGCGAAAGCGUGGGGAUCAAACAG